AUUGAACGCUGGCGGCAGGCCUAACACAUGCAAGUCGAGCGCGCGGCGGACGGGUGAGUAAUGUAUGGGGCUCUGCCCUAUAGAGGGGGAAACCUCCUGGAAACGGUGGCUAAUACCGCAUACUUUCGACUUAUCCCAUAUGGGAUUAGCUAGUAGGUGGGGUAAAGGCCACCUAGGCGACGAUCUCUAGCUGGUCUGAGAGGAUGAUCAGCCACACUGGGACUGAGACACGGCCCAGACUCCUACGGGAGGCAGCAGUGGGGAAUAUUGCGCAAUGGGCGCAACCCUGACGCAGCCAUGCCGCGUGAAUGAAGAAGGUCUUCGGGUUGUAAAGUUCUUUCGGUAGCGAGGCGUUAACUACAGAAGAAGCACCGGCUAACUCCGUGCCAGCAGCCGCGGUAAUUC
rnacentral:rRNA from 1 species